rnacentral:rRNA from 1 species
GACGAACGCUGGCGGCGUGCCUAAUACAUGCAAGUCGAGCGAAGUUUUUCUGGUGCUUGCACCGGAAAAACUUAGCGGCGAACGGGUGAGUAACACGUAAAGAACCUGCCUCAUAGACUGGGGCAACUAUUGGAAACGAUAGCUAAUACCGGAUAACAGCAUUAACUGCAUGGUUGAUGUUUAAAAGUUGGUUUUGCUAACACUAUGAGAUGGCUUUGCGGUGCAUUAGCUAGUUGGUGGGGUAAAGGCCUACCAAGGCGACGAUGCAUAGCCGACCUGAGAGGGUGAUCGGCCACACUGGGACUGAGACACGGCCCAGACUCCUACGGGAGGCAGCAGUAGGGAAUCUUCCGCAAUGGGCGAAAGCCUGACGGAGCAACGCCGCGUGAGUGAAGAAGGAUUUCGGUUCGUAAAGCUCUGUUGUUAGGGAAGAAUGAUUGUGUAGUAACUAUACACAGUAGAGACGGUACCUAACCAGAAAGCCACGGCUAACUACGU